UCUGUAUAAUUACUUACCUGGUUCUCGUA
rnacentral:piRNA from 1 species